AAAAGCUCGUAGUUGGAUUUCUGUCGAGGAUGACCGGUCCGCACUUUGUGCGUGCAUCUGGUUCAGCCUUGGCAUCCUCCUGGGGAACGUAUCUGCGCUUAAUUGCGUGGUGCGGUAUUCAGGACUUUUACUUUGAGGAAAUUAGAGUGUUCACGGCAGGCAAUCGCCUUGAAUACAUUAGCAUGGAAUAAUAAUAUAGGACCUUGGUCCCAUUUUGUUGGUUUCUGGAACUAAGGUAAUGAUUAAUAGGGAUAAUUGGGGGCAUUCGUAUUAACGUGUCAGAGGUGGAAUUCUUGGAUUACGUUACGACGAACUACUGCGAAAGCAUUUGCCAAGGAUGUUUUCAUUGAUCAAGAACGAAAGUUCGGGGAUCGAAGAUGAUUAGAUACCAUCGUAGUCCGAACCAUAAACUAUGCCAACUAGAGAUGGGCGAUCGUUAUUUUUUUGACUUCGUCCGCACCUUAUGAGAAAUCAAAGUCUUUGGGUUCCGGGGGGAGUAUGGUCGCAAGGCUGAAACUUAAAGGAAUUGACGGAAGGGCACCACCAGGAGUGGAGCCUGCGGCUUAAUUUGACUCAACACGGGAAAACUCACCAGGUCCAGACAUAGUAAGGAUUGACAGAU
rnacentral:rRNA from 1 species